CCAACAUGGAUACUCCCGAGUGAUCACUCUCCCCGGGCUGUUCCCAGGUGGCAUAAGGGAGCACAGGGAUCAGAGCCCCAUGAUGUACAGUCCUUUCCCACAAUGUUGGAGAUCAAGCUGAGCCUGGAGUCUGCGCUUUAAUAUUCCUACAGCUUCUCAGAGUCCUGUGGACAAUAACUGAGGAGGCAAACCAUGCAGGAAACAUGU
ensembl:snoRNA SNORA73 Small nucleolar RNA SNORA73 family